rnacentral:rRNA from 1 species
GACGAGCGCUGGCGGCGUGCCUAAUACAUGCAAGUCGAACGCUUCUUUCCUCCCGAGUGCUUGCACUCAAUUGGAAAGAGGAGUGGCGGACGGGUGAGUAACACGUGGGUAACCUACCCAUCAGAGGGGGAUAACACUUGGAAACAGGUGCUAAUACCGCAUAACAGUUUAUGCCGCAUGGCAUAAGAGUGAAAGGCGCUUUCGGGUGUCGUUGAUGGAUGGACCCGCGGUGCAUUAGCUAGUUGGUGAGGUAACGGCUCACCAAGGCCACGAUGCAUAGCCGACCUGAGAGGGUGAUCGGCCACACUGGGACUGAGACACGGCCCAGACUCCUACGGGAGGCAGCAGUAGGGAAUCUUCGGCAAUGGACGAAAGUCUGACCGAGCAACGCCGCGUGAGUGAAGAAGGUUUUCGGAUCGUAAAACUCUGUUGUUAGAGAAGAACAAGGACGUUAGUAACUGAACGUCCCCUGACGGUAUCUAACCAGAAAGCCACGGCUAACUACGUG